AGAGUUUGAUCCUGGCUCAGAACGAACGCUGGCGGCGUGGAUUAGGCAUGCAAGUCGAACGGAACUCUUAGCUUUUUCGAGAGUUUAGUGGCGAAAGGGUGAGUAACACGUGGGUUACCUGCCCUAGGGAUUGGGAUAACCUGUCGAAAGACGGGCUAAUACCGAAUACGUCCUGCACUUUUCGAAGUGCAGGGGAAAGAUGGGGAUCCGUAAGGACCUAUCACCCUUGGAUGGGCCCGCGGCCUAUCAGCUAGUUGGUGAGGUAAUGGCUCACCAAGGCUAAGACGGGUAGCUGGUCUGAGAGGAUGGUCAGCCACACUGGGACUGAGACACUGCCCAGACACCUACGGGUGGCUGCAGUCGAGAAUCUUUCGCAAUGGGGGAAACCCUGACGACGCGACGCCGCGUGGAGGAUGAAGGCCUUCGGGUUGUAAACUCCUGUCAGCUGGGGAGAACAAGUUGCCGGUGAAUAAUCGGCGACUUUGACAGUACCAGCAGAGGAAGCCACGGCUAACUCUGUGCCAGCAGCCGCGGUAAUACAGAGGUGGCAAGCGUUGUUCGGAUUUAUUGGGCGUAAAGGGUCCGUAGGCGGCCUGAAAAGUCGGAUGUGAAAUCCCACAGCUUAACUGUGGAACUGCAUUCGAAACUUUCAGGCUCGAGUGUGAUAGGGGUAAAGGGAAUUCCCGGUGUAAGGGUGAAAUCUGCAGAGAUCGGGAGGAACACCAGUCGCGAAGGCGCUUUACUGGAUCACUACUGACGCUGAGGGACGAAAGCCAGGGGAGCAAACGGGAUUAGAUACCCCGGUAGUCCUGGCCGUAAACG
rnacentral:rRNA from 1 species